rnacentral:rRNA from 1 species
GACGAACGCUGGCGGCGUGCUUAACACAUGCAAGUCGAACGGAAAGGCCCUGCUUUUGUGGGGUGCUCGAGUGGCGAACGGGUGAGUAAUACGUGAGUAACCUGCCCUUGACUUUGGGAUAACUUCAGGAAACUGGGGCUAAUACCGGAUAGGAGCUCCUGCUGCAUGGUGGGGGUUGGAAAGUUUCGGCGGUUGUGGAUGGACUCGCGGCUUAUCAGCUUGUUGGUGGGGUAGUGGCUUACCAAGGCUUUGACGGGUAGCCGGCCUGAGAGGGUGACCGGCCACAUUGGGACUGAGAUACGGCCCAGACUCCUACGGGAGGCAGCAGUGGGGAAUAUUGCACAAUGGGCGGAAGCCUGAUGCAGCAACGCCGCGUGCGGGAUGACGGCCUUCGGGUUGUAAACCGCUUUCGCCUGUGACGAAGCGUGAGUGACGGUAAUGGGUAAAGAAGCACCGGCUAACUACGUG